CGCUCUUUGGAAAAUGAGUUGGUAAUAUAAGGAGUCGGACCUGCCCAGUGACAUAUGUGUUAAACGGCCGCGGUAUCUUGACCGUGCAAAGGUAGCAUAAUCACUUGCCUUUUAAUUAAAGGCUUGUAUGAAUGGUUUGACGAGAGCUAAGCUGUCUCCUUUUAAAUAUUUAGAAAUUAAUUUAUAGGUGAAGAGGCCUAUAUAUAUUUGAGGGACAAGAAGACCCUGUUGAAUUUGAGUGGACAUAAAAGUGGUGUAUUAUUUAAUGAUGUUGUAUAUGUACAGAUUAUAUUUUUGUUUAAUCUUUAGUUGGGGCGACUGAGGAGCAUAAGAAGCAUCCUUUGAAAGCGGGUAUGGCUGGCAGGUUAGUUUGAUCCAAUUUUAUUGAUCAAGGGAAGAAAUUACCACAGGGAUAACAGCGUAAUCUUCUUGGAGAGCUCUUAUUGAAAAGAGGGUUUGCGACCUCGAUGUUGGACUAAGAUAUCCAAGGGGUGAAGGAGCUUCUAAGGGUUGGUCUGUUCGACCAUUAAAAUCUU
rnacentral:rRNA from 1 species